CACAUGUGAUUUUUUGUAGUAGCACGGGCACGUGACCACCGCGAUCGGGUUGCACAGGAUUCCCUAGGUUGCUAUGGCCACGACACAGAAGCCUUUUUGGGCAUUGUUUACUGGACGAUGCCAGGGACACAGCAGCAACUACCGGUGCGUACUUGGAUCACAUGACGGCUCACACACGUCACAGGAGCCGGGACGGAAGCAGGCAGCUCACCUGGUCUCCGCUGUACUUCCCGCUGGCGGGACUCCUUCACUAUAAAGGUAACGGAGGGUUCGGCACAGGCGCACAUGAGCGCACGUCGCGGGAGCGUGACAUCACCGACCCUGCGUCCAGCGGUUUCUGUUUCCAUGUGGGUGUCUUCACGGGUCUCUUAUGGUAUAAAGAUUGCCAUCAUGUUAAACAGAAUGUUCCAGACAGCUGUGGAGAAGAAGGAGGGUGGCUUCCAGUUGUGUCCUGCAGUUGAUGCCUCCCUGGCACAUGCACC